rnacentral:rRNA from 1 species
UGGGGAAUAUUGCGCAAUGGGGGCGAACCCUGACGCAGCAAUACCGCGUGAGUGAAGAAGGUUUUCGGAUCGUAAAGCUCUGUUAUUGGGGAAGAAAACAUGACGGUACCCAAUGAGGAAGUCCCGGCUAACUACGUGCCAGCAGCCGCGGUAAUACGUAGGGGACAAGCGUUGUCCGGAAUGACUGGGCGUAAAGGGCGCGUAGGCGGUCUAUUAAGUCUGAUGUGAAAGGUACCGGCUCAACCGGUGAAGUGCAUUGGAAACUGGUAGACUUGAGUAUUGGAGAGGCAAGUGGAAUUCCUAGUGUAGCGGUGAAAUGCGUAGAUAUUAGGAGGAACACCAGUGGCGAAGGCGGCUUGCUGGACAAAUACUGACGCUGAGGUGCGAAAGCGUGGGGAGCGAACAGGAUUAGAUACCCUGGUAGU